UACAGAGGGGGCAAGCGUUGUUCGGAAUUACUGGGCGUAAAGGGCGCGUAGGCGGCCUGUUAAGUCGAACGUGAAAUCCCCGGGCUCAACCCGGGAACUGCGUCCGAUACUGGCAGGCUUGAAUCCGGGAGAGGGAUGCGGAAUUCCAGGUGUGGCGGUGAAAUGCGUAGAGAUCAGGAAGGACACCGGUGGCGAAAGCGCUCUGCUAGGCCGCAACUGACACUGAGGGACGAAAGCUAGGGGAGCGAACGGG
rnacentral:rRNA from 1 species